rnacentral:rRNA from 1 species
UACGAAGGGGGCUAGCGUUGCUCGGAUUGACUGGGCGUAAAGGGCGCGUAGGCGGUCUGUACAGUCAGGCGUGAAAUUCCUGGGCUCAACCUGGGGGCUGCGUUUGAUACGUGCAGACUAGAGUGCGGAAGAGGGUCGUGGAAUUCCCAGUGUAGAGGUGAAAUUCGUAGAUAUUGGGAAGAACACCGGUGGCGAAGGCGGCCUUCUGGACAGUGACUGACGCUGAGACGCGAAAGCGUGGGGAGCAAACAGG